rnacentral:rRNA from 1 species
AACGAACGCUGGCGGCAUGCCUAACACAUGCAAGUCGAACGAGACCUUCGGGUCUAGUGGCGCACGGGUGCGUAACGCGUGGGAACCUGCACUUAGGUUCGGAAUAACUCCCCGAAAGGGGUGCUAAUACCGGAUAAUGUCUUCGGACCAAAGAUUUAUCGCCUUUGGAUGGGCCCGCGUUGGAUUAGCUAGUUGGUAGGGUAAAAGCCUACCAAGGCGACGAUCCAUAGCUGGUCUGAGAGGAUGAUCAGCCACACUGGGACUGGGACACGGCCCAGACUCCUACGGGAGGCAGCAGUGGGGAAUAUUGGACAAUGGGCGAAAGCCUGAUCCAGCAAUGCCGCGUGAGUGAUGAAGGCCUUAGGGUUGUAAAGCUCUUUUACCCGGGAUGAUAAUGACAGUACCGGGAGAAUAAGCUCCGGCUAACUCCGA